rnacentral:lncRNA from 1 species
AUUCAAAUUUAUUUUCAUUAGUUUGAAUUUAUAAGGGGUAAAUAUCAAUAUGUUAAAAUUUAUUAGAUUAAGCGGGUUAAACUGAACAUGUCAAGAUCCAAUCCAAUUUUUAAUUCAUUUCAACUCAAAAUAAAUUUAAACGGGCCAUGAUCCAAUCCAAUAUUGAAUUUAAUCCAUUUAAUAUUCUCAAUCUCAACUCAACCC